AAUGAACGUUGGCGGCGUGGAUUAGGCAUGCAAGUCGAGCGUACCCCGCAAGGGGGAAGCGGCAAACGGGGUAGUAAGGCGUCGGUACGUGCCUCCUGGACGGGGACAGCCACGGGAAACUGUGGGUAAUACCCGAUGACAUCGAGAGAUCAAAGGUGUGAUUCCGCCGGGAGAGCGGCUGACGUGGUAUUAGGUAGUUGGUAAGGUAAUGGCUUACCAAGCCUGGGAUGCCUAGGGGGUGUGAGAGCAUGGCCCCCACCAUUGGGACUGAGACACUGCCCAGACACCUACGGGUGGCAG
rnacentral:rRNA from 1 species